UGAUUCUCUAUCAGGAUCCAUUGGUCUGUC
rnacentral:piRNA from 2 species